rnacentral:rRNA from 1 species
ACGGAAGGCAGCAGUGGGGAAUAUUGCACAAUGGGGGAAACCCUGAUGCAGCGACGCCGCGUGAGUGAAGAAGUUAUUCGUAAUGUAAAGCUCUAUCAGCAGGGAAGAAAAUGACGGUACCUGACUAAGAAGCCCCGGCUAACUACGUGCCAGCAGCCGCGGUAAUACGUAGGGGGCAAGCGUUAUCCGGAUUUACUGGGUGUAAAGGGAGCGUAGACGGUUCUGCAAGUCUGAUGUGAAAGGCAGGAGCUCAACUCCUGGACUGCAUUGGAAACUGUAGAACUAGAGUGCCGGAGAGGUAAGCGGAAUUCCUAGUGUAGCGGUGAAAUGCGUAGAUAUUAGGAGGAACACCAGUGGCGAAGGCGGCUUACUGGACGGUAACUGACGUUGAGGCUCGAAAGCGUGGGGAGCAAACAGGAUUAGAUACCCUGGUA